rnacentral:lncRNA from 1 species
AUCACCUUAAAUUCGGUUCAUAGCCUAACACAAGUAAAUAAAAAAUAAUCUGAAAAGAAGACAGUACAUAUACAUACGUCAUUAGAUAAGUGACUGAACUACUAGUCUUUCAAGAGUUUUUAAUACAUAAAUACUCUGUGUGUGCUCUCAUCAUUAUUUAAAUCAACUAAUAAGUAUCACUGUAUUAUUUUUUGGAAGCUGAAUUAUAUGUCGUAUCAUAUUUCUUU